rnacentral:rRNA from 1 species
GAUGAACGCUGGCGGCAGGCUUAACACAUGCAAGUCGAACGCCCCGCAAGGGGAGUGGCAGACGGGUGAGUAACGCGUGGGAACAUACCCUUUUCUACGGAAUAGCUCUGGGAAACUGGAAUUAAUACCGUAUACGCCCUACGGGGGAAAGAUUUAUCGGGGAAGGAUUGGCCCGCGUUGGAUUAGCUAGUUGGUGGGGUAAAGGCCUACCAAGGCGACGAUCCAUAGCCGGUCUGAGAGGAUGAUCAGCCACAUUGGGACUGGGACACGGCCCAAACUCCUACGGGAGGCAGCAGUGGGGAAUAUUGGACAAUGGGCGCAAGCCUGAUCCAGCCAUGCCGCGUGAGUGAUGAAGGCCUUAGGGUUGUAAAGCUCUUUCACCGAUGAAGAUAAUGACGGUAGUCGGAGAAGAAGCCCCGGCUAACUUCGUGCCAGCAGCCGCGGUAA